rnacentral:rRNA from 1 species
AUGCGGUAUGACGGUACCCUUUCGAAUAAGAGGUUGCUAACUCUGUGCCAGCAGCAGCGGUAAAUACAGAGACCUCGAGCGUUAUCCGGAUUUACUGGGCGUAAAGCGUCUGUAGGGGGUUUGUUAAGUUCCAAGUAAAAUCUUAAGGCUCAACUUUAAGUUCGCUUGGAAAACUAAUAAACUGGAGUCCAGCAGAGGUGCAUGGAACUUGCGGUGUAGGAGUGAAAUCCGUUGAUAUCGCAAGGAACACCAAAGGCGAAGGCAUUGCACUGGGCUGGUACUGACCCUGAGAGACGAAAGCGUGGGGAGCAAAACGGAUUAGAUACCCGUGUAGUCCACGCCGUAAACGAUGGAUACUAGAUGUUCGGGGAUUCGACCCCCUGGGUGUCACAGCUAACGCGUUAAGUAUCCCGCCUGGGGAGUACGGCCGCAAGGCUAAAACUCAAAGGAAUAGACGGGGAUCCGCACAAGCGGUGGAGCGUCUGGUUUAAUUUGAUAGUAAGCAAUGGACCUCACCAAGGUUUGACAUCCUAUGACAACCCUGGAAACAGGGCUUCCUUCGGGCAUAGUGACAGGUGCUGCAUGGUCGUCGUCAGUUCGUGCCGUGAGGUGUUCCGUUAAGUCGGGAAACGAACGAAACCCUCGUCGCAUGUUACAAAUUUCAUGCGAGACUGCCCGGGUCAACCGGGAGGAAGGCGGGGAUGACGUCAGAUCAGCAUGGCCCUUAUACCUUGGGCUACACAGGCGCUACAAUGGCCGGUACAAAGGGUUGCAAAACCGCGAGGUGAAGCUAAUCCCAUAAAGCCGGUCCAAGUUCGGAUUGGAGGCUGCAACUCGCCUCCAUGAAGUUGGAAUCGCUAGUAAUCGUGGAUCAGCCAUACCACGGUGAAUACGUUCCCGGAUCUUGUAC